rnacentral:rRNA from 1 species
UACGAAGGGGGCUAGCGUUGCUCGGAUUGACUGGGCGUAAAGGGCGCGUAGGCGGUUCGUACAGUCAGACGUGAAAUUCCUGGGCUCAACCUGGGGGCUGCGUUUGAUACGUGCGGACUUGAGUGCGGAAGAGGGUCGUGGAAUUCCCAGUGUAGAGGUGAAAUUCGUAGAUAUUGGGAAGAACACCGGUGGCGAAGGCGGCGACCUGGGUAGAUACUGACGCUGAGGUGCGAAAGCGUGGGGAGCAAACAGG